UCAGUUAAAACAGAGAAUCUCUAAUAGAGGGGAGAAGACCCACUUAAAAAUAGGUUUAUGGUUUGUUAGACCUCCAGAGGGCGCUCCAGAGACAGUCUAAAAUGAAUGAGUUCUUAUGGGGCAUUUGAGUAAAAUUUGAGUUUACACGUUUGAUCAUUUGUAUACUAAUAUUGUUUUUAUUCACUCAAACACAGAGCAAUAUUAAUUGUUUCUUAUAUGCUAAAAAAAUAAAUAAUAAUUAACUAUGGAAGUAAAACAGUGUCACCAGACUUUGAAAUUUAAAAGCACUUGAAUUUUUAGCACUGAAUUAUUUUACAUUGAAUUAUUGCAUGUGAUUUUUUUGCCUCUGAAUUAAACACUUUAAUUUUUCAGUAUAUCAUUUUCACUUAUUUUAUUUUAAUGUAAAAAAAUUCAAAAGCAAAAAUUCAAGUUUUAAAAAUUCAAUUAAAAUAAAUUCAGGUUGCUCAAAUUCGACCUGUCAAAUUCGACUGCUAAAAUACAACGCUCAAAAUUCGCUGUCAACAUCCGGGACACACAGGAUGAGCAAUCGAUUCAGUCUUCAAUCGAGCCAACAACCAGCCAAUCACAUCACGCUCCGAAGAUCACGUGACAGGUAGCGCCUCACGGCUCAGAGCCGCUCAACGCGAGUCACAGCCCCCUCCGCUGCUCCUCUGGAGUAGGUUGAAAAGAAGAUGGAGAAGUUUCAGCUUGCAGCUAUGGAGAGUUCACCACGAAAAGAACGAAGUCAAAGAAUACAAAGAUCUGUCCAUAUUCUGAAGUCACCACUUGAAGAUUUUAUGCAGAAUUAUUUGGAUUAUGAAUAGGAACCACAUUAUUUGCAACAGCUUGUAUUAUUUAUACAAACAAGAUGAACAUGAUAUGAUGUGCCAGAAUAUAGGGAGGCUGCCUAAAACAUACAAAAAAAAAAUACAGAACACAUGUAAACAACUAAAGAAAAACAGAACAUGGCACAUGUAAAUAAAUCAAAUAAACACAGCACAGACUGCAUGAAAUUGGUUUUCUUUAUUUGUUCUUUAAAAGUUUGGAGAAAGGAAACCUGUGGAAUACAAAAGAAACUUGAAAAAUUACUGCAUUUGAUACAUGGAUAUAAUUAAACAUUUUAAGAACAUUA